AGAGUGAACGCUGGCGGCGUGCCUAACACAUGCAAGUCGAGCGAGAAAGGGUAGCAAUACCUGAGUAAAGCGGCGAACGGGUGAGUAACACGUGGUUAACCUGCCGGAAUGUGGGGGAUACCCCGGGGAAACUCGGGACAAUACCGCAUACAGUCUUCUGGGCUUGGGCCCGGAAGAGCAAAGCUGGGGAUCGUAAGACCUGGCGCAUUCCGAGGGGACCGCGGCCGAUUAGCUAGUUGGCGGGGUAAUGGCCCCACCAAGGCAACGAUCGGUA
rnacentral:rRNA from 1 species